GGGGUGGGCAGGAUGCCGUGAAGGUAGCUGGGCUCUCGGGGAGCAAGGAUCACCUUUCCCUGUGCGGUUCUGAGAGGUCAGGUGACCUGGGUGCGGGAACUCGUGUGUGUGUGUGUGUGUGUGUGUGUGUGUGUGCGUGCGCACAGACUGCAGAGACCAGGGGUCGUAGACUUGAGCUUGCCCAAGUAUCCCAGGAUAUGCAGGCCGGUGUGAAGGGCCUGGGGGCGCACAGAGGGGUGCACCGUGCCCCUGUCCCCCCGAUGUCAACGUACAGAUGGGAUUUUGGAUCUGCAACCCCUGGGUCCAGGGAGUGAAGUGGAAAAGUGGCCCCACCUGUCACUGCUGGUAAGCGAGGAGUGGGGAUAAGGCCCCUCACCGGGCCAUGGCGAGGACACAUAGGUGGCACCCGGGGGGGGGCAGCGAGCUUGGCGUAAUGGCAGGAGCAGCCCCCCCGGGCUUUGCAGGGGAUCCCUCAGCUUUUUCUGACCUCUGCACCUCCCCCCAUCUGCCCUUCCAGAAUCCUCUCAUGGGGCACAUUCAGUCCACCUGAUCUGCCUGACCCAGGGCUUAUCUUGUGCUUCCUGUCGGAGUUCUAGGUCCACAGGGUUUCUUGCCUGCUCAAAGCUGGCCCUGCCAUUCCCACCAGACCACAAGGACCUUCUCCAGGACUCAGAGCCCAGGGCCUUUCAUCGGACAGAGGAGAUCUGAGCACCUGGCUGGCUUUAGGGGUGCCUCCUUCUCCCAUCGUGGGGGCCUCCCGACCGCAGCCAGGUUGGGCUAGCCCCAAAGGAGACAGCAGGAUGGUUCCAGGAAGCCUGUGCAGCCAGUGAUUCCUCUCCAAGCCGCCACCAGCCUCUGUCCUCACUGCCAUCCGUGUGUGGCGGCCGGUCUCCAAGAUGGCCCCAGCGAUCCUACACUGAACCACGUCAGGGGCGAGUCGUCACUCAGCUGGAGUUACCAACGGGCCCCGGAAAGUGCACCCCCAACUCAGUGAGAAGAGGGUCUUGGCCUUUUGUCCCUGCUGGUGCCUCUUCCUUCCGACGCCUCAGACCCCAGCAGGACGCAGCACCUGUUUUCCACGCCGUGUGACCGAUUCCCGCACGUACAGUGGCUUAAACCACGCGCGCGUCUGUCACCGUGCAGGUGCGUGAGGUCAGAGGUCUGGGGACCGCGCAGCCGGGUCCUCUGCUUACUCACAGGGCUGCAGUUGGGCGGCGGCUGG
rnacentral:lncRNA from 1 species